CAGUCGCCGCGGGAAUACAGAGGGUGCGAGCGUUAAUCGGAUUUACUGGGCGUAAAGCGUGCGUAGGCGGCUUCUUAAGUCGGAUGUGAAAUCCCUGAGCUUAACUUAGGAAUUGCAUUCGAUACUGGGUAGCUAGAGUAUGGGAGAGGAUGGUAGAAUUCCAGGUGUAGCGGUGAAAUGCGUAGAGAUCUGGAGGAAUACCGAUGGCGAAGGCAGCCAUCUGGCCUAAUACUGACGCUGAGGUACGAAAGCAUGGGGAGCAAACAGGAUUAGAUACCCGUGUAGUCCCUGUCUCUUAUAC
rnacentral:rRNA from 1 species